rnacentral:rRNA from 1 species
CGGCGUGCUUACACAUGCAAGUCGAACGAACCUUCGGGUUAGUGGCGGACGGGUGAGUAACGCGUGAGAAUCUGCCCUCAGGAGGGGGAUAACAGCUGGAAACGGCUGCUAAUACCCCAUAUGCCGCGAGGUGAAAUGAAUUUCGCCUGAGGAUGAGCUCGCGUCUGAUUAGCUAGUUGGUGUAGGUAAUGGCUCACCAAGGCAUCGAUCAGUAGCUGGUCUGAGAGGAUGAUCAGCCACACUGGGACUGAGACACGGCCCAGACUCCUACGGGAGGCAGCAGUGGGGAAUUUUCCGCAAUGGGCGAAAGCCCGACGGAGCAACGCCGCGUGAGGGAUGAAGGCCUCUGGGCUGUAAACCUCUUUUAUCAAGGAAGAAGAUCUGACGGUACUUGAUGAAUAAGCCACGG